rnacentral:rRNA from 1 species
GAUGAACGCUGGCGGCGUGCCUAAUACAUGCAAGUCGAGCGAACGGACGAGAAGCUUGCUUCUCUGAUGUUAGCGGCGGACGGGUGAGUAACACGUGGAUAACCUACCUAUAAGACUGGGAUAACUUCGGGAAACCGGAGCUAAUACCGGAUAAUAUUUUGAACCGCAUGGUUCAAAAGUGAAAGACGGUCUUGCUGUCACUUAUAGAUGGAUCCGCGCUGCAUUAGCUAGUUGGUAAGGUAACGGCUUACCAAGGCAACGAUGCGUAGCCGACCUGAGAGGGUGAUCGGCCACACUGGAACUGAGACACGGUCCAGACUCCUACGGGAGGCAGCAGUAGGGAAUCUUCCGCAAUGGGCGAAAGCCUGACGGAGCAACGCCGCGUGAGUGAUGAAGGUCUUCGGAUCGUAAAACUCUGUUAUUAGGAAAGAACAUAUGUGUAAGUAACUGUGCACAUCUUGACGGUACCUAAUCAGAAAGCCACGGCUAACUACGUG